GUGUAGCAAGGUGAAGGCGUGAAGCGCAACAGCCGAAGUGAAAGCGAGCCUUAAUAGGGCGAGAAGUUGCAUGCUGUAGACCCGAAACCGGGUGAUCUAUCCAUGUGCAGGUUGAAGCGAGAGUAAAAUCUCGUGGAGGACCGAACCUGUAUCUGUUGAAAAAGGUUAGGAUGACGUGUGGAUAGGGGUGAAAUUCCAAUCGAACUCGGAGAUAGCUGGUUCUCCUCGAAAUAGCUUUAGGGCUAGCCUCAAGAAAAGAUUAACGGAGGUAGAGCACUGAAUGUUUGCGGGACCUUCACCGGUUACCAAAAACUAUCAAACUCCGAAUGCCGUAUAAUUAUACUUGGGAGUCAGACUAUGUGAGAUAAGUUUCAUAGUCGAAAGGGAAACAGCCCAGACCUACAGCUAAGGUCCCAAAAUAUAAGUUAAGUGGAAAAGGAUGUGAAGUUGCACAAACAGCUAGGAUGUUGGCUUAGAAGCAGCCAUACAUUUAAAGAGUGCGUAACAGCUCACUAGUCGAGUGAUUUUGCGCCGAAGAUAAACGGGGCUAAAACUUAUUACCGAAGCUUGGGAAUUUAAAAUAAAUUGGUAGAGGAGCGUCCUAUGUGGGUUGAAGUUGUGCCGGAAGGCAUGGUGGACUGCAUAGGAGUGAGAAUGUUGGCAUGAGUAGCGAGAGACAGGUGAGAAUCCUGUCGGCCGAAAAUCUAAGGUUUCCUGAGCAAGGUUCGUCCGCUCAGGGUUAGUCGGGACCUAAGCUGAGGGCGAAAGCCAUAGGCGAUGGACAACAGGUUGAUAUUCCUGUACCACCGAUAGUCGUUAAGAGUGAAGUGGGGACACAGAAGGAUAGGUUAAGCGUGCCGUUGGUAGAGCACGUACAAGCGUUAAGGUAGUUGCAGCAGGCAAAUCCACUGCAAUAAUACUGAGGCGUUAUGUGGAGGGAAAUUAAGUACCGGAAGUAACUGUUUUCAUGCUGUCAAGAAAAUCCGCUAGCAAGACUAAAGGUGCCCGUACCGCAAACCGACACAGGUAGAUGAGGAGAGAAUCCUAAGGCCAGCGAGAUAACUAUUGUUAAGGAACUCGGCAAAAUAACCCCGUAACUUUGGGAGAAGGGGUACCUACGCAAGUAGGUCGCAGUGAAUAGGCCCAGGCGACUGUUUAGCAAAAACACAGGUCUCUGCAAAAGCGAAAGCUGAAGUAUAGGGGCUGACGCCUGCCCAGUGCUGGAAGGUUAAGGUGAAGUGUAAGGGUAACCGAAGCACAGAACUUAAGCCCCAGUAAACGGCGGCCGUAACUAUAACGGUCCUAAGGUAGCGAAAUUCCUUGUCAGGUAAGUUCUGACCCGCACGAAAGGCGUAACGAUCUGGGCGCUGUCUCAACAAUAGACUCGGUGAAAUUGUAGUACCGGUAAAGAUGCCGGUUACCCGCAGCAGGACGGAAAGACCCCGUGGAGCUUUACUGUAACUUGAUAUUGAGUUUCGGUGUUAUGCGUACAGGAUAGGUGGGAGACUAAGAAUCUGGAGCGCCAGUUUUAGAGGAGUCAAUGUUGGGAUACCACCCUUGUAGCAUUGGAAUUCUAACCCGGUAGCAUCAUCUGCUACGGGGACAGUGUCUGGUGGACAGUUUGACUGGGGCGGUCGCCUCCUAAAGAGUAACGGAGGCGCCCAAAGGUUCCCUCAGCGCGGACGGAAAUCGCGCAUAGAGUGCAAAGGCAGAAGGGAGCUUGACUGCGAGACCAACAAGUCGAGCAGGGACGAAAGUCGGGCUUAGUGAUCCGGUGGCAUCCGAGUGGAAGGGCCAUCGCUCAACGGAUAAAAGCUACCCCGGGGAUAACAGGCUGAUACCGCCCAAGAGUUCACAUCGACGGCGGUGUUUGGCACCUCGAUGUCGGCUCGUCUCAUCCUGGGGCUGGAGUAGGUCCCAAGGGUUGGGCUGUUCGCCCAUUAAAGAGGUACGCGAGCUGGGUUCAGAACGUCGGGAGACAGUUCGGUCCCUAUCCGCUGUGGGCGUUGGAAAUUUGAGUGGAGCUGUUCCUAGUACGAGAGGACCGGAAUGGACAUACCUAUGGUGUACCGGUUGUUCUGCCAAGGGCAUAGCCGGGUAGCUAAGUAUGGAAAGGAUAAGCGCUGAAAGCAUCUAAGUGCGAAGCCAACCACAAGAUAAGAUUUCCUCCAGCAAUGGUAAGACCCGUGAGAGACUAUCACGUUGAUAGGUCGGAGGUGUAAGUGCAGUAAUGUAUUUAGCUGACCGAUACUAAUAGGUCGAACGCUUGACCAA
rfam:Eubacterium saphenum ATCC 49989 genomic scaffold Scfld0, whole genome shotgun sequence.